rnacentral:rRNA from 1 species
CCUACGGGAGACAGCAGUGAGGAAUAUUGGUCAAUGGGCGCUAGCCUGAACCAGCCAAGUCGCGUGAAGGAUGACGGCUCUAUGGGUUGUAAACUUCUUUUGUAUGAGAGUAAACGGCAGUACGUGUACCGUUCUGAAAGUAUCCUAUGAAUAAGGAUCGGCUAACUCCGUGCCAGCAGCCGCGGUAAUACGGAGGAUUCGAGCGUUAUCCGGAUUUAUUGGGUUUAAAGGGUGCGUAGGUGGACUGGUAAGUCAGUUGUGAAAGUUUGCGGCUCAACCGCAGAAUUGCAGUUGAUACUGUUCGUCUUGAGUGCAGUAGAGGUAGGCGGAAUGCGUGGUGUAGCGGUGAAAUGCUUAGAUAUCACGCAGAACCCCGAUUGCGAAGGCAGCUUACCGGACUGCAACUGACGCUGAUGCACGAAAGUGUGGGUAUCAAACAGGAUUAGAUACCCCGGUAGUC